GGCGGGGGAUAUACCAUGAUCGCGAAAGCUGCUUUCUCGGGGUGAGGCUCACCCACUGCACUGCGGGUGUGCUGACCUCUGUGAUUUUCCCAAAUGCAAGAAGCUCGACUGCGUAACUGGCGGUGGUGGGAGACUGCAUUUGCACGGUCUCCCC
rnacentral:snRNA from 1 species